GAGCUUUAGCAGCACAUACACUAAAAUUGGAACAAAACAAAGAUUAGCAUGGUCCCUGCUCAA
rnacentral:snRNA from 1 species